rnacentral:rRNA from 1 species
UACGGGGGGGGCAAGCGUUGUUCGGAAUUACUGGGCGUAAAGGGCGCGCAGGCGGCUUGGCAAGUCGAGUGUGAAAUCCCUUGGCUUAACUAAGGAAUGGCGCUCGAAACUACCUCGCUAGAGGGCGGGAGAGGGAAGUGGAACUCUCGGUGUAGGGGUGAAAUCUGUAGAUAUCGAGAGGAACACCGGUGGCGAAGGCGGCUUCCUGGCCCGCAUCUGACGCUGAGGCGCGAAAGUGUGGGGAGCAAACAGG